UACGGAGGGGGCUAGCGUUGUUCGGAAUUACUGGGCGUAAAGCGCACGUAGGCGGCUUUGCAAGUCAGAGGCGAAAGCCCGGGGCUCAACCCCGGAAUAGCCUUUGAGACUGCAUCGCUAGAAUUGUGGAGAGGUAAGUGGAAUUCCGAGUGUAGAGGUGAAAUUCGUAGAUAUUCGGAAGAACACCAGUGGCGAAGGCGGCUCACUGGCCCGGUACUGACGCUGAGGUGCGAAAGCGUGGGGAGCAAACAGG
rnacentral:rRNA from 1 species